CCCUAGCCAUUCCAUCUUGAAUGCACCUGAUCUCUUCUGAUCUCAGAAGUUUAGCAGGGUUGAUUCUGAUUAGCACUUGAAUGGGAAACUACCUGGGAAUACUGAGAUCUAUAGGCU
rnacentral:rRNA from 1 species